UGAUGUUAGCGGCGGACGGGUGAGUAACACGUGGGUAACCUGCCUGUAAGACUGGGAUAACUCCGGGAAACCGGGGCUAAUACCGGAUGCUUGUUUGAACCGCAUGGUUCAAACAUAAAAGGUGGCUUCGGCUACCACUUACAGAUGGACCCGCGGCGCAUUAGCUAGUUGGUGAGGUAAUGGCUCACCAAGGCGACGAUGCGUAGCCGACCUGAGAGGGUGAUCGGCCACACUGGGACUGAGACACGGCCCAGACUCCUACGGGAGGCAGCAGUAGGGAAUCUUCCGCAAUGGACGAAAGUCUGACGGAGCAACGCCGCGUGAGUGAUGAAGGUUUUCGGAUCGUAAAGCUCUGUUGUUAGGGAAGAACAAGUACCGUUCGAAUAGGGCGGUACCUUGACGGUACCUAACCAGAAAGCCACGGCUAACUACGUGCCAGCAGCCGCGGUAAUACGUAGGUGGCAAGCGUUGUCCGGAAUUAUUGGGCGUAAAGGGCUCGCAGGCGGUUUCUUAAGUCUGAUGUGAAAGCCCCCGGCUCAACCGGGGAGGGUCAUUGGAAACUGGGGAACUUGAGUGCAGAAGAGGAGAGUGGAAUUCCACGUGUAGCGGUGAAAUGCGUAGAGAUGUGGAGGAACACCAGUGGCGAAGGCGACUCUCUGGUCUGUAACUGACGCUGAGGAGCGAAAGCGUGGGGAGCGAACAGGAUUAGAUACCCUGGUAGUCCACGCCGUAAACGAUGAGUGCUAAGUG
rnacentral:rRNA from 1 species